rnacentral:rRNA from 1 species
AGUGGGGAAUAUUGGACAAUGGGCGAAAGCCUGAUCCAGCCAUGCCGCGUGUGUGAAGAAGGCCUUUUGGUUGUAAAGCACUUUAAGCGAGGAGGAGGCUACCGAGAUUAAUACUCUUGGAUAGUGGACGUUACUCGCAGAAUAAGCACCGGCUAACUCUGUGCCAGCAGCCGCGGUAAUACAGAGGGUGCGAGCGUUAAUCGGAUUUACUGGGCGUAAAGCGUGCGUAGGCGGCUUUUUAAGUCGGAUGUGAAAUCCCUGAGCUUAACUUAGGAAUUGCAUUCGAUACUGGGAAGCUAGAGUAUGGGAGAGGAUGGUAGAAUUCCAGGUGUAGCGGUGAAAUGCGUAGAGAUCUGGAGGAAUACCGAUGGCGAAGGCAGCCAUCUGGCCUAAUACUGACGCUGAGGUACGAAAGCAUGGGGAGCAAACAGGAUUAGAUACCCUGGUAGUCCAUGCCGUAAACGAUGUCUACUAGCCGUUGGGGCCUUUGAGGCUUUAGUGGCGCAGCUAACGCGAUAAGUAGACCGCCUGGGGAGUACGGUCGCAAGACUA